CCUUGAAGACAGCACAUAACGGUAAGUGGCUAAACAACAUAAAAGCAGAAACUUUACAACUGCCAUUUCAAAAGUUUUGUACACAAGACAGUCCAAGAAGUAAGUUUUCACACACUCUCUUCCUCCUUCUCUCCCACUUAAGACACCGAUGAACCCAUAAUAAACUUCUCUCUGAAACUCACCCUCCAUGGUUUGUAAACUUCAUCCUUUGAAUUCACAAGACAAGAACCCGAAUGCCACUCGCUUGGAGUAACUUUAGUGGAUGACAACUUUCCAGUAUCCUAGCUCCCCCCAAAACCAAGCUCACCAAGGGACUGGAAAGGCUCUGUCAUUCUCAAAAAUAACCUCAAUAGUUCCCUAUUGGUGGGGGUGUGCAGGGAAAGUGGGGAUUUAAUUCCCUCCAGCAAUCUUGAUGUUUGCACACCAGUGCAUAAUGAUAUUAUCAAUCCUCACGCAAACUACCGGCAGGAACGGUUCGCCGCGAACCUGCUGGGAAUUUGCACCUGGAGGCUUGGUUUUCUUCAUCAAAGACCCAAGUGAAGAACUCAAAGGGACCUACAGCUUGAGGGACGCCACUGUGGCCUGGGGCACUCACCAACUAGAACAGAGAGUUCUAGAAGGUCAAGGAAAUCUGAGCCAGGGUAUGUUAACCUCAGCCAACGAGAAGAAGAUGGCCCUUCUCAUCUCUAGCCAGCCAAGAGCUUCAUCAGUCAAGGUACCUUGUUGGGGGAGUGGAGGGGGGCGCAUGUGCAAUCGCAGCAUAGGUGUGGAGGUCAGAGGACAACCUGUAGGGGUCGGUUCUCUCCUUCUACCAUAUGGGUCUUGGGGGUCAAACUCAGGUCACUAGGCCUGGCAGCAAGUGUCCUUAUCCUCUGAGUCACCUUUCCAGCUCACCAAUCAACAUUAGAAGCUGAAUUUUAUAAAUUAUAUCAUCAUAGGAGAGAGGAAAUUGACAUGAAGAUUUAAAAUUAUCCUUUUUUUUUUUUCUUUCUCUCUUUCUUUAGGAACCCUAUUCGAGGGCUGGGGAGAUGGUUCAGGCUGUAAAAGGCUUGCUAUGCAAGCAUCAGGACCUGGGUUUGGAUGCUCAGCAUAUGAGAAACCAGGGGCUGUGCUACACCUGUGGUCCCAGGGCUAAAGAGGUCGAGACAGGAGGAUCCCCAGAGCUCAGCUAGUUUAGCCUAGUCAAUAGACGAGCUCUCGGUUCCGUGGGAGAUCCAGUCUCCAAAAUACAUUGCAAAGGAGCAAUUGAGAAGCCGGGCAGCAGUGGCGUACGCCUUUAAUCCCAGCACCAGGGAGGCAGAACCAGACGCAUCUCUACAGAGAGAAAUCCAGGACAGGCAUCAAAACUACACAGAGAAAGCCUGUCUCGAAAAACCAAAGUAAAUAAAUAAAUAAAUAAAAGAAGCAAUUGAGGAAGACACCAGACGUGGACCUCUGGUCUCCCCACACAUGUGUAUCCACAUGCAAAAACACAUGUGUAUCACACAGGAAUCCUAUUUAUUGUGAAAAGAAUAAGAACGUGAAAUGGAGAGUUAGAUAUGCCCAAAUAACUGUCCACGUUAAAACUGCUGUUAGAAGAACGAUGUGAAUUUUUUUUUCAGUCUUGAUUAAAGUAUUUUUUAAGUUUUGAUUAAAGUGUUUUUAAAACAUUGAAAAUAACAAUAUAUCUCCGAAAAUAAUGAGUUUCCUCCUGUUAGCUGUUGAAUUGUUUACUCCCAUAACUGAAUAAUAACAACACAUCAAAGCCAGCGGUGGUAAUUAAAUGAUUUGUGAACAUAGGUUAACAAAUUAGUGUGUCAUGAUGUAUAAUUGUCUAAUUAAGAUAAAAAUGCUAGUCCUGCCUAAAAGACUGACAAGAUAGCUAAAUAAGGAAAAAUAGGUAAGGAAGAAAAAGCACUAUGCAAUGAAUUAGAAUGUAUAUAGUAAUGUUGUUUUUCUACCUAUUACUAUAGGGAAGUUACAAAUGCCUUCUAGACCUGAUUUGUCCAAGUCAUAUGCUUCAAGAAUAUCCAGUUCAGGCAGAAACAACCAACCAGGGUCUCACAUAGCCCAGGCUCACUGUGUAGCCAAGAACUCCUGCCCUCACCUCCCAAGGAAGAGGACGUCCGUCAUCACACCUGGCUUAUUUGCAGUGUUAGACAUUGAAGCCAGGCUUUCCUGCAUGCUAGAAUGCUGGAAUUACAGAUAAGCACCGCCAUACCUGGUGGGACCAGAGGCUUCCAGGAGUGAAACAGAAUCCCCCAUAGGAAAAAGGUUCCCGUCACCAGGACUGUCUCAGGAGGUGCCAUCUCUUAGGGUCCUACUGGAGACAAGUUUCCAGUGCAGGAGGGACCAGACCAGGUAACUUGUGAGGUGUCUGUGUGUUCUGUGACCCUAGAGUUCAUAGGAUUCUGACUGGAUCAGCCCCUAACACCAUCCAGCCGAGUCUCAGCCCUCUCACGCUACUAAGCAUCGUCCUUUCAAAAGCCACCACCAUCCUGACUGCCCAACAUGUGCCGAUCUCAGAUUGCUUUCCUGUUGCUUGGUGCAGAAUGAAGCCAAGUGGUGUUUGUACCAGUGCUUCUGUGGGAUCCAAAGGCUGUAAUAAUACACCUCAGGUCUUUGAAAAGAACAUGUGGCUUCAUAGCUAGUUCAUGGCAAAAGAGGAGCGCAUUGGCACAUGUAGGAACUGUAUUAACUAAGUAAAAAGAGCUCAGUGGUGGAACGCUUGCCUGACACUACAAUGCUCUGGGUUUAAAGCCAGUAUUCCCCACCCCACCGAAAAGAUAGUCCAUCAUCCAUUCCUCCUAAUAAGCG